rnacentral:rRNA from 1 species
UACGUAGGGGGCAAGCGUUGUCCGGAUUUAUUGGGCGUAAAGAGCGUGUAGGCGGCUAUACAGGUCCGUUGUGAAAACUCGAGGCUCAACCUCGAGACGCCGAUGGAAACCGUAUGGCUAGAGUCCGGAAGAGGAGAGCGGAAUUCCUGGUGUAGCGGUGAAAUGCGCAGAUAUCAGGAAGAACACCCGUGGCGAAGGCGGCUCUCUGGGACGGUACUGACGCUGAGACGCGAAAGCGUGGGGAUCAAACAGG